rfam:Salmo salar isolate Sally breed double haploid chromosome ssa28, whole genome shotgun sequence.
UAAUGCACUAACUGUAAGUUACUCUGGAUAAGAGUGUCUGCUAAAUGACUCAAA